UAACAAGAGAGUUUGAUCCUGGCUCAGGAUAAACGCUGGCGGCGCACAUAAGACAUGCAAGUCGAACGGACUUAACCAGAAAUUUAUUUUUGGAGCGGUUAGUGGCGGACUGGUGAGUAACGCGUAAGCAAUCUGCCUAUUAGAGGGGAAUAACAGUGAGAAAUCAUUGCUAAUACCGCAUAUGCCAUGAACAUCGCAUGAUGAAAAUGGGAAAGGAGUAAUCCGCUAAUAGAUGAGCUUGCGUCUGAUUAACUAGUUGGUGUGGUAACGGCACACCAAGGUGACGAUCAGUAGCCGGACUGAGAGGUUGAACGGCCACA
rnacentral:rRNA from 1 species